CGGAUUGUAGCUUAUUAUAAAGCUUAUUAUUUACAUUAAUAUGAAAAUUUUAUUCUUUCUGA
rnacentral:tRNA from 1 species